rnacentral:rRNA from 1 species
AGUAAUGUAUGGGGAUCUGCCUGAUGGCGGGGGAUAACUACUGGAAAUGGUAGCUAAUACCGCAUAAUGUCUGCGGACCAAAGCGGGGGACCUCCGGGCCUCGCGCCAUCAGAUGAACCCAUAUGGGAUUAGCUAGUAGGUAAGGUAACGGCUUACCUAGGCGACGAUCCCUAGCUGGUCUGAGAGGAUGAUCAGCCACACUGGGACUGAGACACGGCCCAG